CCCUUAGAUGUCCUGGGCCGCACGCGCGCUACACUGAUGCAUUCAACGAGUUUUACCUUGGCCGAGAGGCCUGGGCAAUCUUUUAAACCUGCAUCGUGAUAGGGAUAGAUUAUUGCAAUUAUUAAUCUUGAACGAGGAAUUACUAGUAAACGCAGAUCAUCAAUCUGCAUUGAUUACGUCCCUGCCCUUUGUACACACCGCCCGUCGCACCUACCGAUUGAAUGGUCCGGUGAAGCCUCGGGAUUGUGGCCAGUUCACUUUAUUGGGAGUUGGCUGCGAGAACUUGUCUAAACCUUAUCAUUUAGAGGAAGGUGAAGUCGUAACA
rnacentral:rRNA from 1 species